AUGUCACAAAUAAUGACUGCAGGUUAAUUGAUUCAGAAAGCCUUGUCUGGGUAGAUCUCUCCCUGGGCCUCUUGAGCCAGGCGAAAACAUUCCAAUGUACUGUGCAAAAAAAAGCAGCCUGGCUUAGGCGGGAGAAAAGCAGGAAGUUCCAUGAGUUUUGAUUAUGCGUAGACUAUUAGUUUUCCUGGUUCGAGUUCCAUUCUCUUUCCCCCAUCUCCACCCCCAUUCCCCUCCUCCUCCUCCCUCCCUCUCUUCCCACCUCCUUUCGUCUUCCAAGCCUAGUACCGAUAGCUCCUUUAAUUGAGACCAUUGCGCGCACACACACACAUACACACACACAUAAACACACACAUACACUCUGAUUUCUGGUGUUGCUAAACAUUCAGAACUGAACUGGAUGGGCCAUCCUCUUCUUUAUACAUAGACAUCAACAAAAAAAAAUACCUUUGUGUGUCGACAAUUUCCUCGAAGUGUUUAUUCUUUUAGGGUUGGAUGCCUGAGGCUGAGAAGAUUGUUUUUUAUUCACAGUGUAAGAACCGUACAGUGAUAGGAAUUCAUGGAAAGGAGCCUCAAUCCAGGAGGACAAAACAAAAAAAAACUUUCAGCACUUCCUCUGACUUCCAUACAGCAGUAACUGGAACGCUUGAACACAUUGACCAAGAUGAUGAAGGUAGCACAUGAUGAAAAGAAAGAUUAAAUGAGCUGUGAAGAGCAUGGCGUAGUUUCUCCACUCCCGGGAAGUACUGGACGACGAAGGGUACCCGAUUGGUCCAUCCUCUGAGGAGGACAUGAUGGUUUUCUGCUGUGGCACAUUGGAACUGGCAGUUGGAACUGAUGAGUUGAGCAUCAUUUUCUGUUCUUAUGAGGGCGUCGUUCAACAAUUUCAGGUGUCCGUCGUGUUCCUCCUUAUCUGAAUAACAAAUUGAAACCUGCAUCUCCUUUCUAACUGAUUAAAGAUUUAACAGCAUCUUAGGUCUGUUUAAUUUGCAUCAGUUGUAAGACCCUUUGAUCUUUUACUUAAAAAUUCUGUGUCUUUUUGCUUCCUGUCACAUGGGCACCUGAAGAAGGAGAGUGACUCCGAAAGCUUGUGUUUUCAAAUAAACCUGAUGGGCUAUAA